GUCCGGCCGUAAACUUUAACUUACAUACCUAUCGCCUGGGAACUACGAGCUAAGCUUAAAACCCAAUGGACUUGACGGUACCCCAUAUCCCCCUAGAGGAGCCUGUCCUUUAAUCGAUAACCCCCGUUUAACCUCACCAUUUUUAGUUAAUCAGCCUGUAUACCUCCGUCGUCAGCUUACCACGUGAGCGAAUUAUAGUGAGCUUAAUGACAUUUAGCCAACACGUCAGGUCAAGGUGCAGCAAAUAGAAUGGGAAGAGAUGGGCUACACUUUCUAAUAUAGAAAACACAAAAGACUACUUAUGAAACCUAGUCAGAAGGUGGAUUUAGAAGUAAAAAGAAACCAGAGUGUUCUUUUUAACACGGCCCUGGGGUGUGUACACACCGCCCGUCACCCUCCUCAAAGCUAAAAAUUAAUACUUAACUCUAAAUACGCGCUACAGAAGAGGCAAGUCGUAACAUGGUAAGUAUACCGGAAGGUGUGCUUGGUUUUAA
rnacentral:rRNA from 1 species